CCAAAAUCAUUAUAUAUUCCUUGACAUAAAUCCAAAAAUUCAGUUGUAAGGCCAUGUGUGAAUUGCGUUAAAUAGUUAAAUCUUGUAAAAUUUUUGACACUAGUGAGGUGAAUAAAACAUUUUCAGCUGUCAAAACAUUAAUGGCCUCUGGGAGCCGGUUAAUCGAAGUUAAAUUUUUUUUGCACAUGGUUUUGUUAUUUUGUGCAUUGUAUAUCAAUUCAUAUACCUACAGUUUUUCAGGAGUAUCAUGUCAGCAAAAAGGCAGAGAAUAAACAAUAAGCCGUACAAUAUAUGGACCCACGAGGAAAAAAAUCAGCUCAUAAAUUUAAGGACCGAAAACAAUAAAAUGUUUACCAACAAAAAUUCAAUAAUGAGCGCUUGCUGGAAAGCCAUAGCAGAGAAAAUGGAGAGUACCAAGGAUGCCAACCAAUGUAAGCAGCAAUGGAAAAACCUUCUCAUUCAUAGGAAAUAAAACUAUUCUUCUUUAAUUUCUCUUCUUCGACUAGGCAAAUAAUCAUGCCAUAUCAAAUAUUGAUAUUGUAAUAAAACACCAACAUCAAUGGCACAAAAAUUUCCAAAAUAUCAUCCAUUUUAAUUUACAAAAUAAAACAAAAAUUCGGUUUUUAUCGAUUUGAAA